CAGCCGCCGCGGUAAUACCAGCUCUCCGAGUGGUGUGGAUGUUUAUUGGGCCUAAAGCAUCCGUAGCUGGCUGAGUUAGUCCUUUGUUAAAUCCACCGAAUUAAUCGUUGGAUUGCGGGGGAUACUGCUCGGCUAGGGGACGAGAGAGGCAGACGGUAUUUUCGGGGUAGGGGUGAAAUCCUAUAAUCCCGGGAAGACCACCAGUGGCGAAGGCUGUCUGCUAGAACGCGCCCGACGGUGAGGGAUGAAAGCUGGGGGAGCGAACCGGACUAGAUACCCGGGUAGUCCCAGCUGUAAACGAUGCAGACUAGGUGUUGGAACGGCUACGUGCCGCUUCAGUGCCGCAGAGAAGUCAUUAAGUCUGCCGCCUGGGGAGUACGGCCGCAAGGCUGAAACUUAAAGGAAUUGGCGGGGGAGCAC
rnacentral:rRNA from 1 species